UGCGGAGAGGGAGGACAGCAGGCCGGGGAACUGGGCGAACUCCGCCGCACUUCCGUGCGUCCGGGCUGGGCAGGAGCGGCCGGCUCCGCCCCCCGCGGGCCUGGGGCGCCGGGGCGGGCCCCCGCCUCCUCCUCCGCGCUCCUUCCGUCUGGCGGGCGCCUGGCUUGCUCGCGGCCAGUCGGCAGGCGAGAGGGAGGAGACGGCCCGCGGGCACGGGGCCCGAGAGCCUCCGGGACUUGUCCCUGAGACCGCCGCCCCCUCCACGCCAAAGCCUGUCCGCGCUCGCCGGGAGACACCUCACGCCCCCAGGGGUAGGAGCGCCGCGCGGGGGAGCUCGCCAGCCGCCGCCGCCUCUUUUCCUGGACUGCGCCACCCUCCUGCCUGUUCCGUGACGCAGGUGGAGUGAAACUCCGAAAGUUUGCAAAGCGCGGGGCUGCAAGCGGGGCGCCAGAGCCACGGACGGGCGUGGGGCGCGGUGCGUGGAGAGACGCGCCAGCCGGAGGGGAGCGCAGCAGCGGACGCCCCAUUCCCACCUUCUACCCACCACUACUGCUCCGCCGGGACGGGGUCGUGGCGCGGCUCUGGAUCGUACUGCGCCGCGGUAGUGCAGCCUGCGCGUCCCGGGAGUCUGUCCUGGGAUACCAGCCGCCUAGCCACACAGCACCAGGAGCGCCACUGCCCUGGGCGACUUCCUUCAGGGGGAAGGAAUCCUAUAUCUGCAGCGACAAGAAACAAACCUAAGCACGACCCGGUUCGUGUUGCUUUGCGCAGCGGGCGCGUUCUAGAUGUUCUGUCCUGGUCAGCAACAGCAAGGAGAAAGAGGCGGCCCAGUAGAUGAGAUUCCAGAAGAAGCAGGUGGGGCCUUGACUGUCGGUCAGCAUAUCUGGAACACUUUGGGCCCUGAUUCUGCCACGCACUGUGCUGGGCACUGGGGAGUAUGGCACAGUAAGGCAGGAGGGGUUACAGUUCACCGUCCUUAAUCUGUCUAUUCUGUCUCAUUGUCAGUCAUGCACUCAAGAAGCGUUAACUGAGUACCUACUCUGUACCAGCCCCUGGACUACAAAGCCAAAUAAGACAUUAUCAUUACCUUCCAGAAGCUCAGAAGUGUUGUCCCAACUAGACAGAUGACCUCUGCCCAGAGUGACCAGUGCCAUGAAAAGUGCAUGUGAGGGCACCUGCCCCAGCCUGGGUGGAGCAAGGAUCAAGGAAGGCUUCCUGGAGGAACAGGUGCCUAAGGAACAUCAUCCAUCCCUCAUUCAGGCAUCCAGUAUCCAUCUUUUAGGAAAUGAGUCAGCAGGGGAGAACCGUGGGCACUGGUGUGCAGGCUGACCCUGAUUGUCAAGGCAGCCUGGGGAACACACUGAAUUAUCACUGCAGGAAUGCAGAUUUCCAGACGGCUCCCCUGUAGAUCCCAUUCCGUGCGUCUGGGAAGAGGCCUGGCAAUCAGCAUGUCACGGGUUCGGUGCCGCCCAGUGCUACUCGGCAAAGAGAAACCCUUCCCCGCCUGGCAAAGGACCUGACGCUGGCGGGCAUCGGGAACUACGCGGUCAGCCCGGGACACCGGCUCUGGGAAGCGCCCCACGGGGUGGU